GCCCAGGUGAGACGCCCGGUCCCAUUCCGAACCCGGAAGCUAAGGCCUGGCACGGCGAUGGUACUGCACCCGACAGGGUGUGGGAGAGUAGCACGCCGCCGCAC
rnacentral:rRNA from 1 species